CCUACGGGAGGCAGCAGUAGGGAAUCUUCCACAAUGGACGCAAGCCUGAUGGAGCAACGCCGCGUGAGUGAAGAAGGGUUUCGGCUCGUAAAGCUCUGUUGGUCGUGAAGAAAGAUAGAGGUAGUAACUGGCCUUUAUUUGACGGUAAUUACUUAGAAAGUGACGGCGAACUACGUGCCAGCAGCCGCGGUAAUACGUAGGUGGCAAACGUUGUCAGGAUGUAUUGGGCGUAAAGCGAGUGCAGGCGGUUCAAUAAGUGUGAUGUGAAAGCCUUCGGCUCAACCGGAGAAUUGCACCAGAAACUGUCGAGCUUGAGUGCAGAAGAGGAGAGCGGAACUCCAUGUGUAGCGGUGGGAUGCGUAGAUAUAUGGAAGAACACCAGUGGCGAAGGCGGCUCUCUGGUCUGCAACUGACGCUGAGGCUCGAAAGCAUGGGUAGCGAACAGGAUGAGAUACCCUUGUAGUC
rnacentral:rRNA from 1 species